ACACCUCAACUCUUCAUGGUUUUCCAUGAUGAGCUUGGAAUUUGGGGGACUUGCUGGCCUGCAGUCGGCUCCUCUAAAAUAAAUCAGCUUUGCCAGUGUUUGGUGGGUAUCGCAGGUGUGAUAACUAUCUACGCUUGUGGUUUUCCACCAAGUAACCUUCAGCAGUGGAGGUUCACUGGAGCUCACAGACGUCUCUCCCCAGUGAGGGACAGCCCUUUGAAU
rnacentral:misc_RNA from 1 species